ACGGGGAGCACCACAACGAGGUGGAGCCGUGUCGGUUUAAUCGGACUCAACGCCGGGAAACUCACCAGAUAAGACAGCUGAAUGAUAGUCGGGCUGAAGACUCUACUUGACUAGCUGAGAGGAGGUGCAUGGCCGUCGUCAGUUCGUACUGUGAAGCAUCCUGUUAAGUCAGGCAACGAGCGAGACCCACGCCAACAGUUGCCAGCUCGUCCUCCGGGAUGGUGGGGACACUGUUGGGACCGCCUCUGCUAAAGAGGAGGAAGGAAUGGGCAACGGUAGGUCAGUAUGCCCCGAAUAUCCCGGGCUACACGCGAGCUACAAUGGUUGGUACAAUGGGUAUCUACCCCGAAAGGGGACGGGAAUCUCCUAAAACCAAUCUUAGUUCGGAUUGAGGGCUGCAACUCGCCCUCAUGAAGCUGGAAUCCGUAGUAAUCGCGUUUCAACAGAACGCGGUGAAUACGUCCCUGCUCCUU
rnacentral:rRNA from 1 species